rnacentral:rRNA from 1 species
GGGGGGGGGGGGGGGGGGGGGGGGGGGGUGCGGGUCGGGCGGCGGCGGGGUAGGAGCUUGCUCUGACGGGUGGCGAGUGGCGGACGGGUGAGGAAUACAUCGGAAUCUACUUUUUCGUGGGGGAUAACGUAGGGAAACUUACGCUAAUACCGCAUACGACCUACGGGUGAAAGCAGGGGAUCUUCGGACCUUGCGCGAUUGAAUGAGCCGAUGUCGGAUUAGCUAGUUGGCGGGGUAAAGGCCCACCAAGGCGACGAUCCGUAGCUGGUCUGAGAGGAUGAUCAGCCACACUGGAACUGAGACACGGUCCAGACUCCUACGGGAGGCAGCAGUGGGGAAUAUUGGACAAUGGGCGCAAGCCUGAUCCAGCCAUACCGCGUGGGUGAAGAAGGCCUUCGGGUUGUAAAGCCCUUUUGUUGGGAAAGAAAAGCAGCAGGUUAAUACCCCGCUGUUCUGACGGUACCCAAAGAAUAAGCACCGGCUAACUUCGUG